GAAAUCCUGCCUCUUGUCCUGCAGUCGCAACCACGAGCGGCACCGCCAUCCGCCUCGUCGUCGUCAGCAUCUGCAAACUCAGAAGCUUGCAAUCAUGAUCGAGCUUCAUUACACAGGUGUGCUGAUGAAGAUGACAAAGCUCGUCUAUGAGUGGUACACGUAAUAAGAUGUCCAGUAACCACUUGAUCUAAAGAUGGAUGAUAUUGGUUUUGCACCGGUUAACAUGAAGAUGUCGUGCGGUGGUCACAGGAGACGCACCAGAUGUAGUACGCUGUCGCUUAUGCCGAUCGAGAGAUGAGAAGUCCGUGCUGGAGUGGAACAGAAAUCCUCCUCUAAGGUUUUCCUAAAUCUCAUUUGUGGUAAUGGAGCACAAGAGCCAUCUAAGAAGAUAUGAGAAAUCGUAUUUGAGAGGUUUUCCAGAGCUGAUGGAUCAAGAUUUGGAGAUUUAUUUUAACUUUAUUUAUUUUUUGUCUUCUGUUAAUAAAUCUGUUUUAAAAAAAGGAAA